AAGUCGAACGAUGAAGCCUUACGGCGUGGAUUAGUGGCGAACGGGUGAGUAACACGUGGGCAAUCUGCCCUUCACUCUGGGACAAGCCCUGGAAACGGCGUCUAAUACCGGAUAAUACUUUCUCUCUCAUGGGCGAAGGUUAAAAGCUCCGGCGGUGAAGGAUGAGCCCGCGGCCUAUAAGCUAGUUGGUGGGGUAAUGGCCUACCAAGCCGAUGACGGGUAGCCGGCCUGAGAGGGCGACCGGCCACACUGGGACUGAGACACGGCCCAGACUCCUACGGGAGGCAGCAGUGGGGAAUAUUGCACAAUGGGCGAAUGCCUGAUGCAGCGACGCCGCGUGAGGGAUGACGGCCUUCCGGUUGUAAACCUCUUUCAGCAGGGAAGAAGCGAAAGUGACGGUACCUGCAGAAGAAGCGCCGGCUAACUACGUGCCAGCAGCCGCGGUAAUACGUAGGGCGCAAGCGUUGUCCGGAAUUAUUGGGCGUAAAGAGCUCGUAGGCGGCUUGUUGCGUCGGAUGUGAAAGCCCGGGGCUUAACGCCGGGUCUGCAGUCGAUACGGGCAGGCUAGAGUGUGGUAGCCGAGAUCGGAAUUCCUGGUGUAGCGGUGAAAUGUGCAGAUAUCAGGACGAACACCGGUGGCGAAGGCGGAUCUCUGGGCCAUUACUGACGCUGAGGAGCGAAAGCGUGGUGAGCGAAUAGGAUUAGAUACCCUGGUAGUCCACGCGGUAAACGUUGCGAACUAGGUGUUGGCGACAUUCCACGUCGUCGGUGCCGCAGCUAACGCAUUAAGUUCGCCGCCUGGGGAGUACGGCCGCAAGGCUAAAACUCAUAGGAAUUGACGGGUCCCCGCACAAGCAGCGGAGCAUGUGGCUUAAUUCGACGCAACGCGAAGAACCUUACCAAGGCUUGACAUAUACCGGAAAGCCGUAGAGAUACGGC
rnacentral:rRNA from 1 species